GCUCAGGAUGAACGCUAGCGGCAGGCUUAACACAUGCAAGUCGAGGGGUAACAGAGAAAAGCUUGCUUUUUUGCUGACGACCGGCGCACGGGUGCGUAACGCGUAUGCAAUCUACCUUUUGCUAAGGGAUAGCCCAGAGAAAUUUGGAUUAAUACCUUAUAGUAUGAUUACUUGGCAUCAAGAUAUCAUUAAAGGUUACGGCAAAAGAUGAGCAUGCGUUCUAUUAGCUAGUUGGUGUGGUAACGGCAUACCAAGGCAACGAUAGAUAGGGGUCCUGAGAGGGAGAUCCCC
rnacentral:rRNA from 1 species